rnacentral:rRNA from 1 species
UACGAAGGGGGCUAGCGUUGUUCGGAUUUACUGGGCGUAAAGCGCGUGUAGGCGGGUCGUUAAGUUGGGGGUGAAAUCCCGAGGCUCAACCUCGGAACUGCCUUCAAAACUGGCGACCUGGACUCAAGUAGAGGCAAGUGGAAUUGCGAGUGUAGAGGUGAAAUUCGUAGAUAUUCGCAGGAACACCAGUGGCGAAGGCGACUUGCUGGACUUGUAGUGACGCUGAGACGCGAAAGCGUGGGGAGCAAACGGG